rnacentral:rRNA from 1 species
UGGGGAAUAUUGCACAAUGGGGGAAACCCUGAUGCAGCGACGCCGCGUGAGUGAAGAAGUAUUUCGGUAUGUAAAGCUCUAUCAGCAGGGAAGAUAAUGACGGUACCUGAGUAAGAAGCCCCGGCUAACUACGUGCCAGCAGCCGCGGUAAUACGUAGGGGGCAAGCGUUAUCCGGAUUUACUGGGUGUAAAGGGAGCGUAGACGGCAUGGCAAGUCUGAAGUGAAAGCCCGGGGCUAAACCGCGGGACUGCUUUGGAAACUGUUAAGCUGGAGUGCAGGAGAGGUAAGUGGAAUUCCUAGUGUAGCGGUGAAAUGCGUAGAUAUUAGGAGGAACACCAGUGGCGAAGGCGGCUUACUGGACUGUAACUGACGCUGAGGCUCGAAAGCGAGGGUAGCAAACAGG